CGCUGGCGGCGUGCUUAACACAUGCAAGUCGAACGAGAGGACAAGAGAAGCUUGCUUCUUUUGGAAUCGAGUGGCAAACGGGUGAGUAACACGUAAACAACCUGCCUUCAGGAUGGGGACAACAGACGGAAACGACUGCUAAUACCGAAUACGCUUGGAAGACCGCAUGAUUUUCCAAGGAAAGGGUGGCCUCUACUUGUAAGCUAUCGCCUGAAGAGGGGUUUGCGUCUGAUUAGGCAGUUGGUGAGGUAACGGCCCACCAAACCUACGAUCAGUAGCCGGUCUGAGAGGAUGAACGGCCACACUGGAACUGAGACACGGUCCAGACUCCUACGGGAGGCAGCAGUGGGGAAUCUUCCGCAAUGGGCGAAAGCCUGACGGAGCAACGCCGCGUGAGUGAUGACGGCCUUCGGGUUGUAAAGCUCUGUGAUCGGGGACGAACGGUCCGUAAGCCAAUACCUUAUGGAAGUGACGGUACCCGAAUAGCAAGCCACGGCUAACUACGUG
rnacentral:rRNA from 1 species